CCAGCACCCGCGGUAAUUCCAGCUCCAAUAGCGUAUAUUAAAGUUGUUGCAGUUAAAAAGCUCGUAGUUGGAUCUCGGGUCCAGGCUUGCGGUCCACUCCUUGGUGGUUACUGCUCGUCCUGACCUACCAUCCGGUUUGCCCUUGGUGCUCUUGACUGAGUGCUUCGGGUGGCCGGAACGUUUACUUUGAAAAAAUUAGAGUGUUCAAAGCAGGCAUUUCGCCUGAAUAAUGGUGCAUGGAAUAAUGGAAUAGGACCUCGGUUCUAUUUUGUUGGUUUUCGGAACUUGAGGUAAUGAUUAAGAGGGACAGACGGGGGCAUUCGUAUUACGGUGUUAGAGGUGAAAUUCUUGGAUCGCCGUAAGACGAACUACUGCGAAAGCAUUUGCCAAGAAUGUUUUC
rnacentral:rRNA from 1 species